rnacentral:tRNA from 1 species
GUCCGUGGUGUAGCGGUUAACAUGCCUGCCUGUCACGCAGGAGAUCGCGGGUUCGAUUCCCGUCGGGACGCCA